rnacentral:lncRNA from 1 species
AUGUCGAGGCCUGACAGAUCCCUUUACUGUUGAUCCACACAGCUAUCGAUGCCAUUUAGGAUCCCGGUGACAAUAUAUCCGCAGCGUGGAGUCGUGUUGGAGAUGCUAGUCUACAAUAUUGGGCCGGCAGUGUUUAGAUGAUGGUUUCUCCAGUGUUGAGAGAGAUGGGAAUCGGAAAUUGUCAGGAUGAGAGUGGUUGUAUUCCAAUGGCUGUAAGCAUGAAAUCACCUGGCCUUGUGCGGAAGACAUCUGUGAAUCGACCAACCAGAUGUAUACCUCUAAUUUAAACUCCUGAAAAUCCCUAUGGUUGCGGGUGGUGCAGACAGAAUGUGAGCCAGGAAGUACAUCUGUAAAAGCCCAGACAUUCCAUAUGUAGGAGUAUCUUCAUUCUUCAAGUCUGUACAAGAGAUCUUUGUGAGGAUGAUAGUGAAGAUAAUACAAGGAUUCAGCACAUCAUAUCAAUCCAACUGAAGGACAAAGUAUCCAUUGAUGCAGUUGCAUCUUAGCUAAGAAGUUAACUUGGAUCUGCUUCACAGGGAGUCAGUGAUGAUCAUCUAAGUAGUAUGAUACAGUUUUCUGAUCAGAUGAAAUCGCUUUAUCUUAUCUGGCUGGAAUUUAAAGAGCUGAGACUACCAUCAGGAAAAUCUACCAUGUAGUAACACUAACCCAGAACAUUGCUACUGAGUCUACCACACAGUAAUGCUGACUAGAAAAUUGCUAUCGAGUCUACCACACAGUAAUACUGACUAGGAAAUGGCUAUUGAGUCUACCACACAGUAAUACGAACCCAGAGCAUUGCUACUAUGUCUUCUAUACAGUAACGUUUAUUCAGAACAUUGCUACUGAGUCCACCACACAGUAAUAUGGACAAGGACAUUGCUAUUACGAGUUUCCAUGCAGUAACACUGACUUGAGUAGUCCACACAGGAAAAACGCACAGUAACAUUGACUUAGGAUGUUGCUACAGAGUAUUCCACACUGUAAUACUGACCCCGAAGUGUAGCUUUUCUAUGGAAAAUUCAGACAGAUAACUGAAGCUACCUGUCAGUAGGUGCAAUAAAAUCUUUAUUAUCCAUUUAUGUUAACACUCCUGAUACUGAAGGCUGGACUCUGCUGAACACUGGAAAAAAAGCGGAGAUAAACAUGCAACUCACUGUGUGUGACAUUAGUGCAAAAAAGUUUUAAAUGCGAUCAUGAUGUUUAGACAUUAAAAUUAUUUUAAGUAACUUUCAAGUAAUGGUCAAAGGUGGUAGUGAAAAGUCACUGAAUGUGACAUCAAAGUUUAGAUGACUGAGAAAGAAAGACAGUUAUACCUACUGGUAAAAAUCUAUAAGAUUAGAUAUUAAAAUAAUGUUUAAAAAUGACAGUAGGUACAGUAAAAUGUGAAUGUGUUUUGAUUGAUAAUGUCAAAUAAUAAAGUGUAACUGAUUGUUCAAAUGUAUUUAUAUCAUUUUGUUGAGACAGUUAUCUAAAGAAACAAACUGGACCAACUAUUUUGAUCAUUUUGGAUUGGUUAGUAGUUGCAUAAUUUUCCCACAAGAGACCAAAAAAUGUCUGCAAUCUCCCUGAGUCACAUUCACAUGUAUGCUGGCAUUCAUACUGUACA